rnacentral:tRNA from 1 species
GCCUGGAACGCGUGUUGGGUUAAC